GGAUGAACGCUAGCGGCAGGCUUAACACAUGCAAGUCGAGGGGCAGCGCGAGUAUCAAUACUUGGCGGCGACCGGCGCAAGGGGGCGUAACGUGUGAGCAACAUGCCCGUAUCAGGGGGAUAAUCCAGGGAAACUUGGUCUAAUACCCCAUAGUAAUUUUUGUAGGCAUCUAUAGAAAUUUAAAGCUUUGGUGGAUACGGAUUGGCUCGCGUGACAUUAGCUAGAUGGUAAGGUAACGGCUUACCAUGGCUAUGAUGUCUAGGGGUUCUGAGAGGAAGGUCCCCCACACUGGAACUGAGACACGGUCCAGACUCCUACGGGAGGCAGCAGUGAGGAAUAUUGGACAAUGGAUGGAAAUCUGAUCCAGCCAUGCCGCGUGAAGGAAGAAUGUCCUAUGGAUUGUAAACUUCUUUUGUAUGGGAGCAAUAAGGUCUUCGUGAAGACUGAUGAGAGUACCAUACGAAUAAGCAUCGGCUAACUCCGUGCCAGCAGCCGCGGUAAUACGGAGGAUGCGAGCGUUAUCCGGAUUUAUUGGGUUUAAAGGGUGCGUAGGCUGUUAUAUAAGUCAGUGGUGAAAUACUGCCGCUUAACGGUAGAAUUGCCAUUGAUACUGUUUUUCUUGAGUAUGGUUGAGGUAGGUGGAAUGUGUUGUGUAGCGGUGAAAUGCAUAGAUAUGACACAGAACGCCGAUUGCGAAGGCAGCUUACUAAGCCAUUACUGACGCUGAGGCACGAAAGCGUGGGGAUCGAACAGGAUUAGAUACCCUGGUAGUCCACGCCGUAAACGAUGAUCACUCGCUGUUUGCGAUAUACAGCAAGCGGCUGAGCGAAAGCAUUAAGUGAUCCACCUGGGGAGUACGAUCGCAAGGUUGAAACUCAAAGGAAUUGACGGGGGCCCGCACAAGCGGAGGAACAUGUGGUUUAAUUCGAUGAUACGCGAGGAACCUUACCUGGGCUUAAAUGGGGAACGACAGCUGCCGAAAGGUGGCCUUCUUCGGACGUUCUUCAAGGUGCUGCAUGGUUGUCGUCAGCUCGUGCCGUGAGGUGUCGGGUUAAGUCCCAUAACGAGCGCAACCCUUAUCGUUAGUUGCCAGCGGGUCAAGCCGGGGACUCUAGCGGAACUGCCACCGUAAGGUGUGAGGAAGGUGGGGAUGACGUCAAAUCAGCACGGCCCUUAUGUCCAGGGCUACACACGUGUUACAAUGGCCAAUACAAAGGGCAGCUACCGGGUGACCGGAUGCUAAUCUCUAAAGUUGGUCUCAGUUCGGAUCGAAGUCUGCAACCCGACUUCGUGAAGCUGGAUUCGCUAGUAAUCGCAUAUCAGCCAUGAUGCGGUGAAUACGUUCCCGGGCCU
rnacentral:rRNA from 1 species